GAUGAACGCUGGCGGCGUGCCUAACACAUGCAAGUCGAACGAAGCGCCUUACCGGAUUCUUCGGAUGAAGGUCUGGUGACUGAGUGGCGGACGGGUGAGUAACGCGUGGGUAACCUGCCCUGUACAGGGGGAUAACAGCUGGAAACGGCUGCUAAUACCGCAUAAGCGCACGAGGAGACAUCUCCUUGUGUGAAAAACUCCGGUGGUACAGGAUGGGCCCGCGUCUGAUUAGCUGGUUGGCAGGGUAACGGCCUACCAAGGCAACGAUCAGUAGCCGGUCUGAGAGGAUGGACGGCCACAUUGGAACUGAGACGCGGUCCAGACUCCUACGGGAGGCAGCAGUGGGGAAUAUUGCACAAUGGGGGAAACCCUGAUGCAGCAACGCCGCGUGAGUGAAGAAGUAUUUCGGUAUGUAAAGCUCUAUCAGCAGGGAAGAUAAUGACGGUACCUGACGAAGAAGCUCCGGCUAAAUACGUG
rnacentral:rRNA from 1 species